rnacentral:lncRNA from 10 species
AACGGGCUGACCCUGCCCGGCGCCCAGGAGCGCCCUGGGUAUCUCCUGGCUGCUCUCCCGAAUCCUUGCGCGCCGCGCCCCUACCAGGUUCACUGGGUGCACGUAGCCGUUCUCAUAGCGGUCCUCCUGCAACAGCUGCCGCAGGAAAAUAUUUGCAAUACCUGCCACGUCCAAGGUUCAGCUGAGGCCAAUGUAAAGCCAGUAUUAUAGGACACUUCUCAGACUGAGAGCCCAAUGUCGUUGGAAACCACUGGGCCACAGGAAAGGCAGGCUCUCUCAGUCCUGCUCCUGCCAUGGAAGAAGCCUGCUCCCACCAUGCCUUCUGCCACGAGUAAAAGUUCCCUGAGGCCUCCCCAGAAGCAGAUGCUGUCGUGCUUCCUGUAUAGCUGCAGAACUACUUCAAAUCAUCCCAACACCAGAGAACACUAAAUGACAGUGGACAGGAAGACAGUGUACCUUUUGCUCCUGAUGAUCGUAAGAACAACCUCCUUCCUCUUAUUGUGAAGUGCAAGGUGCAAAAAGGAGGCCUGCUGCUUGUUCAGGACUAUGUCAGCAUUGUGGCUCAGAAGAA